rnacentral:rRNA from 1 species
GGAGUCUGGACCGUGUCUCAGUUCCAAUGUGGCCGUUCAUCCUCUCAGACCGGCUACUGAUCGUCGCCUUGGUAGGCCGUUACCCCACCAACUAGCUAAUCAGACGCAGACCCAUCACAAAGCGAUAGCUUACAAGUAGAGGCCAUCUUUAAUAUCAUCUCCAUGCGGAAAUAAUACAACAUUCGGUAUUAGCAGUCCUUUCGGACUGUUGUCCCCAUCUUUGCGGCAGGUUGUCUACGCGUUACUCACCCGUUUGCCACUCGACCCAUCUAAGCAAGCUUAAAAUCGUCUCGUUCGACUUGCAUGUGUUAAGCCUGUAGCUAGCGUUCAUC